GGAUGCGAUCAUACCAGCACUGAAGCACCGGAUCCCAUCAGAACUCCGAAGUUAAGCGUGCUUGGGCGAGAGUAGUACUAGGAUGGGUGACCUCCUGGGAAGUCCUCGUGUUGCAUCCC
rfam:Oryza sativa Indica Group cultivar 93-11 Ctg041012, whole genome shotgun sequence.